UGCUGUCCCGAAUGUUCUGGGUCCUCCCUGACGGAGAUGAGACGCGCUGUGUGGUGAAGGGCUCUGUUUCGGUAGUUGCAGACCUUCUGUGAGUCAGAAAAAAUGGAUGUGAUGACCUCCAGAAAUGCCUUCAGGUCUUAUAGUCUUAGGAAAACAAAAAUAUUGCACACAGCCAAAUCUAUGGCCCCAAAUCAGCAUUAAAGAAAAGUUACAAAACAUUCAUAAAAAACAAGGGCAAAUUCAAGACCAAAGGGAAGGAGAAGUCUUUACUGUGAUAUAAAGACAGAAGAGUCAACCCCUCCUUGAUAAGUAUUCCUGUACAUGUUCAAAAUUCAUCUUGAAAUAUCAUCAAAAUAACUUAACUUAGACACUCCACCAAAUCUGAC